AACGCGAUCUUCAUUUUGAAGUCAACGCCGGAAACCGCCACCAGAAACGGUUAAAAACAACUUCAAACACCGUAAAGAGCGCUCCUCCUUCAGAACCAAAAAUGGAGUUUCGGUAGAGUUUCGUGGAAGACAAAAAUUCAAUUAAUCAUGCAACAAAUUCACAUCCGAUCAAUUAAACAUGACUUGCAGACCAUUGGCAUUCUUGCUUAGCUUGCCGUUCGCUUUGCUUGCCUCAGUCUUAUCCAUCAUCGGUGCUGUCGUCUAUGUUCUAGGGAUUGUGUUGACCUGCAUAAGCCCUUGCUGCAUUUGUUGUGUUGUAGUUGCAAAUGUUGCAGCAAGUCUUGUGAAGCUUCCUGUAGAUGUAGUCCUAUGGUUUAUCAAUUUCAUACCUUGUUGAGCAUGCAUCAUUAAUCAACUUAGGAUCUUUUCUUUUCUUCGUUUUGUUUCACAAAAAUAGAUUACAUUAAUUUGAUUGCAAUAGCAAUUAGCAGACUUUCGAUGUACUUAUUGCAAACGACACAAUUCUAUUGAAUGUUUUGUCUAAUAGUAGUUUGCUAUUUAGUUU